GACGAACCGUACGAACGUUAUUCGGAAUCACUGGGCUUAAAGGGUGCGUAGGCUGCGCAGAAAGUUGGGUGUGAAAUCCCUCGCUUAACCGAGGAACUGCGCCCAAAACUACUGUGCUCGAGGGAGACAGAGGUGAGCGGAACUUAGGGUGGAGCGGUGAAAUGACGUUGAUAUCCUAAGGAACACCGGUGGCGAAAGCGGCUCACUGGGUCUCUUCUGACGCUGAGGCACGAAAGCUAGGGGAGACGAACGGGAGUUAG
rnacentral:rRNA from 1 species